UUUUUUAUUGUGUUCAUAAACUAUUUCAUCCUUGGAAUCUUCUACUUCUCACUCAUGAUCAAAAUUUAGGAUAGAGAAUGGUAUACGGUUUAGUCUAUUUUGAAAUAAAAGUUUAGUUUAGAGAAAAAGUGGACGUGCCGGAGUGGUUAUCGGGAAUGACUA
rnacentral:sRNA from 1 species